rnacentral:rRNA from 1 species
GACGAAGGUGGCGAGCGUUGUUCGGAAUCACUGGGCAUAAAGAGCACGUAGGCGGCUAAGUCAGUCGGAUGUGAAAUACCUCGGCUCAACCGAGGAACUGCGUCCGAUACUGCUUGGCUUGAGGUCCGGAGGGGAGAGUGGAAUUCCCGGUGGAGCGGUGAAAUGCGUAGAGAUCGGGAAGAACGCCGGCGGCGAAAGCGACUCUCUGGUCGGAAUCUGACGCUGAGGUGCGAAAGCUAGGGG